CAGUUUCGGAAUGAAGACGACGAAUCAGAACGAGACUGGCUGCCGUUAAGAAGAUGAGAUAAGCGCUACAUACCGGAACUCCUUGUCCAAAAUAAUGUAUUACCUUCCUGGACCUCGCUAUUUGUCUACAAUUAAUUAAAUGUCUUAUUAGGGAUGUUGCACGCUCUUCCUCCACUUAACUUAUAUUUUGGUUGUUAACUUUGCCUAGAAACUCAUCUAGUUGCCCUAUUUAUCGCAUAUAUCUGCUACGCACGUAUCUAAUAUUAUAGCAAAGCUCCACUUCCGACAUGUUCACAUGUCUUGUAUAGCUCCAAAAUCAUAACUCAAUAAAGCAUAUUUGUGGCUA